AGAACGAACGCUGGCGGCAGGCUUAACACAUGCAAGUCGAACGCCCCGCAAGGGGAGUGGCAGACGGGUGAGUAACGCGUGGGAAUCUACCCAGUUCUACGGAAUAACACAGGGAAACUUGUGCUAAUACCGUAUACGCCCUACGGGGGAAAGAUUUAUCGGGAUUGGAUGAGCCCGCGUUGGAUUAGCUAGUUGGUGGGGUAAUGGCCUACCAAGGCGACGAUCCAUAGCUGGUCUGAGAGGAUGAUCAGCCACACUGGGACUGAGACACGGCCCAGACUCCUACGGGAGGCAGCAGUGGGGAAUAUUGGACAAUGGGCGCAAGCCUGAUCCAGCCAUGCCGCGUGAGUGAUGAAGGCCUUAGGGUUGUAAACCCCUUUCAGCAGGGACGAAGCGCAAGUGACGGUACCUGCAGAAGAAGCGCCGGCUAACUACGUGCCAGCAGCCGC
rnacentral:rRNA from 1 species